rnacentral:tRNA from 1 species
GGAAGCGUAUCGUCACCGGUGUGGCGCCUGGACUUCAAAUCCAGUGGGCGGCCGAAAGGUCGCCGGUAGGUUCGACUCCUAUACGCUUCCGCCA